rfam:Myotis lucifugus cont2.7201, whole genome shotgun sequence.
GCUGGUUUUGCUCAGUGGAUAGAGCAUCAGUCUUCAGAACUGAAGGGUCCCGGGUUCAAUUCCCAUCAAGGA